rnacentral:snoRNA from 1 species
AAGCAUCUAUUUGACAGACCUGGAGAAGGUACUGUCUGCUCUUAAGGUUUCCUACAGAUGCAAGAGAAAAUGUCCUCGCGCUUUCUGCCUGCCUGCCUGUGGCAGCCGCGGUUGGAGAGGGGAGUACAGUA